ensembl:snRNA LOC120093912 U6 spliceosomal RNA
GAGCCAUCUCUCAUAUGCUUAAAUUGGAACAAUACAGGGAGGAUUAGUGUGGCCCCUGCACAAGAAUGACAUGCAAAUUCUUGAAGCAUUCCAUAGCUAA